rnacentral:rRNA from 1 species
AUUGAACGCUGGCGGCAUGCCUUACACAUGCAAGUCGAACGGUAACGGGCCUUCGGGUGCCGACGAGUGGCGAACGGGUGAGUAAUGUAUCGGAACGUACCUUUCAGUGGGGGAUAACGUAGCGAAAGUUACGCUAAUACCGCAUAUUCUGUGAGCAGGAAAGCAGGGGAUCGCAAGACCUUGCGCUGAUUGAGCGGCCGAUAUCAGAUUAGCUAGUUGGUGAGGUAAAGGCUCACCAAGGCGACGAUCUGUAGCGGGUCUGAGAGGAUGAUCCGCCACACUAGGAACUGAGACACGGUCCAGACUCCGUACGGGAGGCAGCAGGUGGGGUAAUUUUGGACAAGUGGGGGCAACCCUGAUCCAGCCAUGCCGCGUGAGUGAUGAA